CUCACACUUGCAUUUCUUUGGAAUAGAACAUUUCAUUGGUAAACAUGACAAUGAUAAGUUUUUUAGGAUCUGUGAAGACUCUGAAGUUUUGAAAAAGGAAAGGGAACAAAUACAAACAACAGAAGGAAAAUGUGAAAGCAAGCUGUUUUUCCAGGGGGUCGCUCAGCAAAACCAGCUGCUUUAUGACAGAGCAUAUUCUGCCCCUCUAAGGGACACACAAAAGUGGGAGAGCCUGCCUACCAGUGAUUCUGUCCCCCUUAAUCCUUAGUAGUCACCAUCACUCACAAGAUAUAGUAUGUAUUUGCCCUGAAGUGAAGAAAGAAACUUUCCUGCAGAAGGUUCCAUCUUCAGUAGGAGUUGAAGCAGCUGCCUCAGGACUUGCCAUAUGAGUGUGCUCCCAUUUUCCCACCCCAAAGUACACUGGAAUCUGGGCUCCCUCAUGGCUGAGUUUGAAGAUACAGAUUUUCUUUCCAUCAUUCCCAUUAUGAGUCUCCAGGAUCAUCUUUGGCUGUUCUUUCAGAAUUAAUGGAAUGCCAAGUCAUUGGCAAGACUCAGUGCCAACUGUCAUCACUGUAAGACUUCACAUAUGCUACAGAAGACUAGCCAGUUCAUCACAUCUAUACUUGGAAGCUAUUUCUUUUGGACUUUUCCUGAUCCUUGAUUCCUGCAUUAAUAUUUCAUUCUGUGAACUUCCAUGAUAACUUGUUCCUAAAACAUGAUGGUAGCUAUAAGAACACAGUCCAGCUACAAGGAAAGUCCCUGAUAUGACUGUGCCAGCUUUGUGAAAAUGUACAGCUCUUUGCUAUAGCCUGGGUUAGUUGUUCCACGUGGUCAUUCUUAUGUAUACAUCAGCAUCCAUAGCAACACUUUUCUGCAAGUUGCUUACAAAAGUUUUGAUAGCAGUGGAUUGACAUGCAAUACAGGAGGUAAUUACAAUCAUGAGUGCAAAAAGUUUCAAAUAUGUUGAAAAUUGUUGAGGAAAAAUGCGGUGUCCUCAGGGCAGAUGGAUGAAUGCUAUAAGGAAGUAAUAGACAUGAACUCUGUUAAUGGGGCUGCCAGUGAUCUGGUAUUUGCCAGUAGGCAUAGUAAUUUUCCAAGCCCAAAGCAUUAAAAAGUUGCAGGUGAUAUUUAUGUAAUGUCAGUGGGUCAUAUUUACUGACUCCUCUGAAUGUACUGAUUCCAAAAAGUUCAGAAGGAAACACCAGUUAAAUGGAGUUCAGUGAAUGCAGGAAUGAAGCAACAAUGUAGAGACACAGGGCUUCAUUUCCAAGGUUCCAAUGUCUGCUGGUGUUUUAUU